rnacentral:rRNA from 1 species
GACAGAGGGGGCAAGCGUUGCUCGGAAUCACUGGGCGUAAAGGGCGCGUAGGCGGCCGAUCAAGUCGGGGGUGAAAGCCUGUGGCUCAACCACAGAAUUGCCUUCGAUACUGUUUGGCUUGAGACCGGAAGAGGUUAGUGGAACUGCGAGUGUAGAGGUGAAAUUCGUAGAUAUCGCAAGAACACCAGUGGCGAAGGCGGCUGACUGG